rnacentral:rRNA from 1 species
UAGCAGAGGGGGCAAGCGUUAUUCGGAAUUAUUGGGCGUAAAGGGCGCGUAGGCGGCGAUUCAAGUGGCGGGUGAAAUCCCUCGGCUUAACCCGGGGAACUGCGUCUGAUACUGGAUGGCUUGAGUAUGGGAGAGGUAAGGCGGAAUUCCUGGUGUAGCGGUGAAAUGACGCAGAUAUCAGGAGGAACACCGAUUGCGAAGGCAGCUCGCUGGAACGUUGACUGACGCUGAGACGCGAAAGCGUGGGGAGCAAACAGG